ACCCAUUUCUGUACCUCCUCUAUAGUUUUACCCAACUCUACAACUUGCUGCCGGAUAAUGCUAUCACCCUACUGAUAAAGAUCGCCACGUAGAUGACUAAUUAUGGGUGUUGGAUGCCCAUGCAUGAUUUCAAAUGGGGACAGGGCCAUAUGUCUGGUGGUAGUACUACGAAUAUGCAACAGUGCUACUGGCAGAAGAACAUUCCAUAUGAGCAGAGUCUCUUGGCACAUUUUGGCUAGCUUUAUUGUUCUAU